UACGUAGGGUGCGAGCGUUAAUCGGAAUUACUGGGCGUAAAGCGUGCGCAGGCGGUUUUGCAAGCCGGAUGUGAAAUCCCCGGGCUUAACCUGGGAAUGGCAUUUGGGACUGCAAGGCUGGAGUGCGGCAGAGGAGACUGGAAUUCCUGGUGUAGCAGUGAAAUGCGUAGAUAUCGGGAGGAACACCAGUGGCGAAGGCGACUACCUGGCCUGUUCUUGACGCUGAGGCGCGAAAGCUAGGGGAGCAAACGGG
rnacentral:rRNA from 1 species